AUUGAACGCUGGCGGCAGGCCUAACACAUGCAAGUCGAGCGGAUGAAGGGAGCUUGCUCCUGGAUUCAGCGGCGGACGGGUGAGUAAUGCCUAGGAAUCUGCCUGGUAGUGGGGGAUAACGUCCGGAAACGGGCGCUAAUACCGCAUACGUCCUGAGGGAGAAAGUGGGGGAUCUUCGGACCUCCCGCUAUCAGAUGAGCCUAGGUCGGAUUAGCUAGUUGGUGGGGUAAAGGCCUACCAAGGCGACGAUCCGUAACUGGUCUGAGAGGAUGAGCAGUCACCCUGGAACUGAGACACGGUCCAGACUCCUACGGGAGGCAGCAGUGGGGAAUAUUGGACAAUGGGCGAAAGCCUGAUCCAGCCAUGCCGCGUGUGUGAAGAAGGUCUUCGGAUUGUAAAGCACUUUAAGUUGGGAGGAAGGGCAGUAAGUUAAUACCUUGCUGUUUUGACGUUACCAACAGAAUAAGCACCGGCUAACUUCGUG
rnacentral:rRNA from 1 species